UACGUAAGGGGCAAGCGUUGUCCGGAAUCAUUGGGCGUAAAGAGCGCGUAGGCGGCCCAGUAAGUCCGCUCUGAAAGUCAGGGGCUCAACCCCUGAAUGCGGGUGGAUACUGCUGGGCUAGAGUCCGGAAGAGGCGAGUGGAAUUCCUGGUGUAGCGGUGAAAUGCGCAGAUAUCAGGAAGAACACCUAUGGCGAAGGCAGCUCUCUGGGACGGUACUGACGCUGAGACGCGAAAGCGUGGGGAGCGAACAGG
rnacentral:rRNA from 1 species